rnacentral:rRNA from 1 species
UAGCGGCGAGCGAACGGGGAGCAGCCCAGAGCCUGAAUCAGUGUGUGUGUUAGUGGAAGCGUCUGGAAAGGCGCGCGAUACAGGGUGACAGCCCCGUACACAAAAAUGCACAUGCUGUGAGCUCGAUGAGUAGGGCGGGACACGUGGUAUCCUGUCUGAAUAUGGGGGGACCAUCCUCCAAGGCUAAAUACUCCUGACUGACCGAUAGUGAACCAGUACCGUGAGGGAAAGGCGAAAAGAACCCCGGCGAGGGGAGUGAAAAAGAACCUGAAACCGUGUACGUACAAGCAGUGGGAGCACGCUUAGGCGUGUGACUGCGUACCUUUUGUAUAAUGGGUCAGCGACUUAUAUUCUGUAGCAAGGUUAACCGAAUAGGGGAGCCGAAGGGAAACCGAGUCUUAACUGGGCGUUAAGUUGCAGGGUAUAGACCCGAAACCCGGUGAUCUAGCCAUGGGCAGGUUGAAGGUUGGGUAACACUAACUGGAGGACCGAACCGACUAAUGUUGAAAAAUUAGCGGAUGACUUGUGGCUGGGGGUGAAAGGCCAAUCAAACCGGGAGAUAGCUGGUUCUCCCCGAAAGCUAUUUAGGUAGCGCCUCGUGAAUUCAUCUCCGGGGGUAGAGCACUGUUUCGGCAAGGGGGUCAUCCCGACUUACCAACCCGAUGCAAACUGCGAAUACCGGAGAAUGUUAUCACGGGAGACACACGGCGGGUGCUAACGUCCGUCGUGAAGAGGGAAACAACCCAGACCGCCAGCUAAGGUCCCAAAGUCAUGGUUAAGUGGGAAACGAUGUGGGAAGGCCCAGACAGCCAGGAUGUUGGCUUAGAAGCAGCCAUCAUUUAAAGAAAGCGUAAUAGCUC